rnacentral:rRNA from 1 species
AUUGAACGCUGGCGGCAGGCCUAACACAUGCAAGUCGAACGAGUGGCGGACGGGUGAGUAAUGUAUGGGAAACUGCCUGAUGGAGGGGGAUAACUACCGGAAACGGUAGCUAAUACCGCAUACCAUCAGAUGUGCCCAGAUGGGAUUAGCUUGUUGGUGGGGUAAAGGCUCACCAAGGCGACGAUCCCUAGCUGGUCUGAGAGGAUGAACAGCCACACUGGGACUGAGACACGGCCCAGACUCCUACGGGAGGCAGCAGUGGGGAAUAUUCCACAAUGGGCGAAAGUCUGACCGAGCAAUGCCGCGUGAGUGAAGAAGGUUUUCGGAUCGUAAAGCUCUGUUGUUAGAGAAGCGGUACCUAACCAGAAAGCCCCGGCUAACUCCGUGCCAGCAGCCGCGGUAAUAC